GGGGCGGUUAGCUCAGCUGGGAGAGCAUCUCGUUUACACCGAGAGGGUC
rnacentral:tRNA from 1 species